CCUGGCUCAGAUUGAACGCUGGCGGUAUGCUUAACACAUGCAAGUCGAACGGUAGCAGGCAAGAGCUUGCUCUUGUGCUGACGAGUGGCGGACGGGUGAGUAAUGCAUAGGGAUCUGCCUUAAAGUGGGGGACAACCCGGGGAAACCCGGGCUAAUACCGCAUAAUACCUUCGGGUUAAAGCUGGGGCCUUUUUGGCCUGGCGCUUUAAGAUUAGCCU
rnacentral:rRNA from 1 species